UCAAGUUAGGUGGCCAAUCCAACAAACUUUCCUAUUAUCUCGAUGAACUCAUAUGGGAAGGAGAUGAAUUGGGAUCAAAUAAGUCUGGAUUGGACUUAAUCUCCUUCCUUGGCUUGGUCCCAGGCCCUAGAUGGCCGAAUCUUGAAAGUGAUAAACUAUAGCUUGAGCUGCAAUCGAACCACCUUAGUUGAUGCCUCAUCCCUAGCACCAUCACCCCUA
rnacentral:lncRNA from 1 species